AGUUUGAGUAAGCUCCAGGAGUUGGUGAUGGACAAGGAAGCCUGGUGUGCCUCAAUUCAUGGGGUUGCAAAAAGUCGGAAAUGACUGAGCGACUGAACUGAACUGAUUUACAAUUGUCUGCAGUUUCCAGAGAAAUCUUCACAUCAUUCUUUGGUAUUACUUCUGGGAUGGUCCUUGGAAAUCAUCUAUUUAGCCUUCUCAUUUUACAGAUGAGAAAAGUAAGGUCCAGAGUGGGAAAGCAACUAGUGCAAGGUCAUUCUGUUAGAGGAAGGGCCAGGACCAGAAUUCAGAUCUCCUGACAAAAAGUUGAGACUUUUACAAUAUACCAUGACAACUUUCCUUUAUUCCCUUGCUCCCUUAGGGGAAAAAAAAAAAAAACAACCCCUCAAAAAUUCUCUUAAACCGUAUCCUGUUUAGAAAGGGCAUGCUGACCAAUAGGCUUAACCAUAAAUCACUGAUUCUGAACUUCUCGGGAACAUUCUCACUACAAAGGAUGAAAUGGUUGGAUGGCAUCACCGACUCAAUGGACAUAAAUUUGAAUAAACUCUNGGAGUUGGUGAUGGACAGGGAAGCCUGGCAUGCUGCAGUCCAUGGGGUCUAAAAGAGUCCAACAUGACUGAGCAACUGAACUGAACCAUUCUGUGCCUCAGUUUCUCCCCCUGAAGAAUGGAGGAUAACAAAAUCUCAUUGGAUUGUUGAUAUAAUUAAAUGACUUCAUGCCUGAACCUAAAACAUUAAUUACUCAAAACAUAUCAGAUACUAAUAUUGUUAUUUUAUAAAGGGAAUGAUCUAGGUUCUAGACUCAGUUCUGCUACUAUGUGACCUUCAGAAAACACAGUUAACCUCUCUGGGUUUCAGUUUUCUAUCUAUAAAGUAAGGAAUGUUACCAGAUAAUUUCCAUGGCUUCAUCUUUAAAAUUCUAUGAUUCAGUGUGUUCAAUAUUUGUUUUACCCAUAUGCACAUUCCAAUUUUGUCUAUAAUUCUAAUUUUUCAGAAUGCUUAAAACUUAUUCUAUUAGCAUACAAUUUUGAGGACUCUCUAGUGAUGACCACUUUGAAAUAUAAACAUCUUUAAUUCACAUCUGGUCAGCAAACAUUUGUAACUUUCACUUAUCUGAAGUAACGCUUUUUCAUGUUCAUGAAAAAUUUAAAAUU
rnacentral:lncRNA from 1 species